UACGUAGGGUGCAAGCGUUAUCCGGAAUUAUUGGGCGAAAGAGCUCGUAGGCGGUUUGUCGCGUCUGCUGUGAAAACCCGAGGCUCAACCUCGGGCCGCAGUGGGUACGGGCAGACUAGAGUGGCGGUAGGGGAGAUUGGAAUUCCUGGUGUAGCGGUGGAAUGCGCAGAUAUCAGGAGGAACACCGGUGGCGAAGGCGGGACUCUGGGCCGAUGACUGACGCUGAGGUGCGAAAGCGUGGGGAGCAAACAGG
rnacentral:rRNA from 1 species